CGAUUGGGGUGCUGCAGGCGCGAAAACUCUGCAAUAAGCGAGAGCUUGACAGGGUUAUUCUGAGUGAUUUCCGCUAAGGAAAUCUUUUGGCACCUCUAAAAAUGGUGCAGAAUAAGGGGUGGGCAAGCCUGGUGUCAGCCGCCGCGGUAAUACCAGCACCCCGAGUGGUCGGGACGAUUAUUGGGCCUAAAGCAUCCGUAGCCGGUUCUACAAGUCUUCCGUUAAAUCCACCUGCUCAACAGUUGGGCUGCGGAGGAUACUAUAGAGCUAGGAGGCGGGAGAGGCAAGCGGUACUCAGUGGGUAGGGGUAAAAUCCGUUGAUCCAUUGAAGACCACCAGUGGCGAAGGCGGCUUGCCAGAACGCACUCGACGGUGAGGGAUGAAAGCUGGGGGAGCAAACCGGAUUAGAUACCCGGGUAGUCCCAGCUGUAAACGAUGCAGACUCGGUGAUGAAUAGGCUUCGUGCCUAUUCAGUGCCGCAGGGAAGCCGUUAAGUCUGCCGCCUGGGGAGUACGGUCGCAAGACUGAAACUUAAAGGAA
rnacentral:rRNA from 1 species